UACGAAGGGGGCUAGCGUUGCUCGGAAUUACUGGGCGUAAAGGGCGCGUAGGCGGAUAUCUAAGUUGGGGGUGAAAUCCCGGGGCUCAACCUCGGAAUUGCCUUCAAAACUGGAUAUCUUGAGUUCGGGAGAGGUGAGUGGAACUCCUAGUGUAGAGGUGAAAUUCGUAGAUAUUCGGAAGAACACCAGUGGCGAAGGCGACUCACUGGCCCGAUACUGACGCUGAGGCGCGAAAGCGUGGGGAGCAAACAGG
rnacentral:rRNA from 1 species